rnacentral:rRNA from 1 species
UACGUAGGGUGCAAGCGUUAUCCGGAAUUAUUGGGCGUAAAGAGCUCGUAGGCGGUUUGUCGCGUCUGCUGUGAAAACCCGAGGCUCAACCUCGGGCCUGCAGUGGGUACGGGCAGACUAGAGUGCGGUAGGGGAGAUUGGAAUUCCUGGUGUAGCGGUGGAAUGCGCAGAUAUCAGGAGGAACACCGAUGGCGAAGGCAGCUCGCUGGGACGUAACUGACGCUGAGACGCGAAAGCGUGGGGAGCAAACAGG